rnacentral:misc_RNA from 1 species
AGAAAAAAAAUCGAAGCGUCGCUCUUUAUGAAAUAUUAUUAUUAUAUUUUGUUUGGGUGAUCGCGUCGGAAUUGAGCCGUCUUUCAUAUGUUAACUCAUGUCAAAGUGGUUUAAAAUUCAUCAAUCUGGUACGAUUUAAAGCGUAUUUAAGAUCAACCUUGAUUAAGAAGGCGCGAUGACGUACCAUCUCAUGUAGUACGUUCGACCUGCUUGUCAGGCUCAUUCGUAUACGACAUUCAAC